rnacentral:rRNA from 1 species
GACGAAGGAUGCAAGCGUUUAUCCGGAUUCAUUGGGUUUAAAGGGUGCGUAGGCGGACUGAUAAGUCAGUGGUGAAAUCUCUUUGCUUAACAAAGAAACUGCCUUGAUACUGUCGGUCUAGAGUAUAGAUGACGUUGCGGAAUAUGACAUGUAGUGGUGAAAUACUUAGAUAUGUCAUAGAACACCGAUUGCGAAGGCAGCUAACGAAACUAUAACUGACGCUGAGCACGAAAGUGCGGGGAUCAAACAGG